rnacentral:misc_RNA from 1 species
GUUUUGUGUGUUUACUUUGUUUUCUUGUAGUUUAUACACUUCUGUGGUGUAUAACACACUCAUCCUUUGUGUUAAUUAUACUAAUUGCAAGGGCUGAAUUACAUUCAAUGCCAUAUGAACCUUCUUGCACUAUCAUCACCACAUUAGCUUUCGUGCCCUUAUUCUCAAUCUUAGCCUUUCCAUUUCUUUGUGAACAGAACUUACAAGUGUGCGCUUCCUUGUAAGAAUGAAAAAAUUGCAAAUUUAUAUGUCUAUAUUUCGAUCUAGACUUUGUUUUUUACCCAAACCCAUUUUGUUUACUCCUACCCAUAGCAACAACCAAAAUAAUAUUUUGCUUUUCCCCAUACGAUUACCUAGACACAUUUCUUUGUAGUUCUUUAGAUUGCAAAGCAUCUUUAACAUGAUUAACUGACAUUGUAUCUCUACUGAACAAUAUCAUUCUUAAAAGUUUUCUAUGAAGGAGGUAAAACUUCUGUCAAGAUAAGAGCUUGAUUCUCCUCCUCUAGCUUAAUGUCAAUUCUGUGUAAAUCAAGGAUAAUUUUACUGAAUUCAUCCUUAAGGUCUUUUAUGGGCAUAGUCUUUGUCAUUCAAAUCAGAAAGCAAUUUAUAUGGUUCUAGUGCCUUUUCACUUCCUUGUUGAACAAGGAGAGUACUUAUCUUCACCUUCUAGAGAUUAAAGUCAUUAGACCCAUUGAACUUCUCAACUUUGAAUUUUGUUUUCAAUAUUCCAAAAUUCCAGCCAAGAAAACCAGCUCUAAUUACCAUUUUUUAAGGAUCUUAAUCUUAUUAUGGCAAAGAGAAGAUAAAACUAGAGAAAAUAGAGAAAUUAAGCAGAAGCACAAACACAAAAUUUUAAAUGGUUCGGUCAAUAGAUAUACAUCCACGAGAGAGAGAGAGAGAGAG